AUUGAACGCUGGCGGCAUGCCUUACACAUGCAAGUCGAACGGUAACAGGUCUUCGGAUGCUGACGAGUGGCGAACGGGUGAGUAAUACAUCGGAACGUGCCCGAUCGUGGGGGAUAACGCAGCGAAAGCUGUGCUAAUACCGCAUACCGAUCUACGGAUGAAAGCGGGGGAUCGCAAGACCUCGCGCGGACGGAGCGGCCGAUGGCAGAUUAGGUAGUUGGUGGGAUAAAAGCUUACCAAGCCGACGAUCUGUAGCUGGUCUGAGAGGACGACCAGCCACACUGGGACUGAGACACGGCCCAGACUCCUACGGGAGGCAGCAGUGGGGAAUUUUGGACAAUGGGGGAAACCCUGAUCCAGCCAUGCCGCGUGCAGGAUGAAGGCCUUCGGGUUGUAAACUGCUUUUGUACGGAACGAAAAGGUCCUUUCUAAUAAAGAGGGCUCAUGACGGUACCGUAAGAAUAAGCACCGGCUAACUACGUG
rnacentral:rRNA from 1 species